CUCUCACCUUCCAUUCUACAUCAUCGUUGCAGCACCCUUUGCAGUUCCCCCAAGGCUCUGUGCUUUUGAACAGGUUGAUUCCCUAAAUCCGCCUCGGAUUACAAAUUGUGAUUUCAAUAUAGAGUUGUACAAUGGCGUUAUGAUAUUGACAGUUUUCUUUUUCAAUCCCUUUCCUGAUAUGACCUAUAACAGGUUUAGGUUAAGGUUUUAAUCAAUUAACCCUGAAUUUGUAACAUUCCAUCCUUGCACGCUGCAAUGUGGUUGAUGCAAAGGACUCAGUACUGCUUGCAGCAGUGUGGAGAGAGCAGUAUAGAGCUUGGGGAAGGAUUGUCAGACAAAGACUGAACAACUUGGCAUCUGAACGAUGCCCAGUUAAAGUGCUUGAGGUGGUCUCCAGUCUUUCAUUUGUUGCUUCCUUGACACCGGGCACAAUGGAUGCUAAAGUGAUGAGGAUCACACAUGCAAUCACCCACUGCAGCAGGUGUGUGAAGCAUCCUUCAAGCACCUUUCCAGAGCCACCAGGAAAGGUGUCCUGAAAGAAGCGUCCAGUUGCAACCAAAUGAUGAUUUAGUAAUGAUUAAUGAAUUCAUUUAUCUGCAUCUUCUUUAAUCCAGACCAUCAAUUUCAUUUGUAUAUCAAGAGAUGAAACCAGGAGUUUGAACCCAUGCUAAGUGCAGUCCUGAAGGACAGUAGUUAAUUAUUAAAAUACAUUAUUGUAUUUUAAAAACCUUGGCAUACAGCUCUACUUUUUUAUUUCAAUAGGUAAUAAAUAUGUUAAAGGUGCCUUGGUAGAACAAGAUUACCAAGGUAAUUGAAUUCUGCCUGAAAACAGAAAGUUGCAGAGGGACGCGGGGUUCUACUAUGGGGACUUUCAGGCUCAUGAACUUCAGUUUCUGAUAUGAAUGCAAUUCUAGUUAAAUGAACUGGUAGAAGGUGGUCACUAGAGGCCAAACUUUUUGAAUCGUUGGUAUGUGCAUAUAUAAUACCCUAUGGCUGAUUAACCUCUGAAAGUAGCUUGUUAAAUGCUCCAUUACCUGAUUUGUGUGCACACAGCAUCCCAUAAAGUUGCUAGUAUGAAUGAAAAGUAAAGCUUGCUAAAUUCAGGUUUACUGUGCUUUAUGAUAUAAGAAUGCAUGUUAUUCACCAGCAAAGGUUGUGUGAAUCUAAAAUAAUAAAUCAUAGAAUCAUAGAGUUGGAAGGGAGCUCCAAGGGUCAUCUAAUCCAACCCCUUGCAAUGAAGGAAUCUCAGCUAGAUCAUACAUGAGAAAUGGGUUUAGUAAGUCUCUACCUAAAGUUGAAUGUUCUGUUAGUGAAACUGAAUUCUUGCUAUUCUGUGCGUGUGAAAAUAUGUCCUUUUGAAUUAUAGAUUUAUAGGAACCAUCAAAAAUUCCCUUCUCCAAUGGAGGGAAAGAAGUAGAGAAAGCCUUCUAGAAGGGGAAGCUCCAGACAACCUGGAGGUUCAGCCCACUAACAGUACAGAGUCAUCUUUCCUUCUCAGUGGGUCAUGGGUUGGACAGGGACAAGGCUCUAUGAUUUCCAAAAUCAAAACAGUGUGUUAACUGUCAACCUACCUGGAAGUGGAGUCCAUCUGGGCUCCUUGGGGAGGGAGAGGAGGAUAUAAAUUCAAUAAAUAAGACGGUAAAUGUGAUCCCAUUCCACAUUUACUUUCUGUUACGAUAUAGAAGCAAUGCAGCCACAAGCUGCUAGCUUGAAAACAGCACAUGAUGGAAUGUUAGGACUGUUCCGUGGGAAACAGAGGGACAGUCAGUUCACAGGGCAAUGCACCGGAAUUAGCUCAGAGUGUAAUAUGAGCUCUUCCUUUUGCUCUUGUACAGGAAGUACAGGAAGUGUUUGUCUCUCGACUGCUGGAGCUUGAAGAGAGCAGUCAUGCUUUUGUAAUGCUGCAAAGACAGAAAUAAAGGAAUGUGAAUACGUUUCUGUCUAUCUCUUUCCCCUGCCGGGGGGGGGGGCAGGAAAGAGGGGGUGUGUUCUUCUCACGCCGAGAAGAAUCGCCUAUCGCGACCUAGCCUGUAUCCUGCUGGGGAAUGCAGACAGGGAGGUCAUCGGGAGAUCAAGCCGGGUGCCUGGAGAAUUGCCAGUUUCUCCUGAUAAAGGUUUGAUUCCCAACACUUUCCCCAUAAUGCAUUUGCAGCUGUAUUUUAUAUGCUACUUUCACUUACAUUCCCUCCCUGGCAAGAACGGUUUCUAAACCCAUAUAUGAAUUCUCAUAAACUAGUCCAGCUUUCUCAUUCACCUUUCCUCACAGACAUCUACUUUUUCCUCAGUCUUCUCCUUCCUUUGUAUUUCUGCUUACAUUUCCCUUUCUCACACAACCCUAUCCUAGUUAUUUGGUGCCUGUGAGUACUGGACAUGUGAAGGGGUUAUUUACAAUGUCCAUGGCCAGCCGUGCUCCUGAUGGCGCACGUUUGGAAUCAGACUGAAGAGGGCUUCCAUGGCUAGGGAGGAAGACAUGCACAGUUCCCUCCACAGGGUUGUGAAACUUGGUUUAGGGAAUUAGGGAGCCCCAUACUAGUUCAACUGUAUGUGCAUGGGCCUCCCUGUAGGUGGUACUGAGGUUAGCUGGACAUGUUCUAGGGAGUCACCUCAUGGAUUAUUUAGAGCCAUUCCAACCUGGAUUCAGGCCUGGCUGUCUAAUUGAUGGACACAAUGAUGCACCUCCCCGUUCCAGGUACGGAAGCUGAAACAGCUGGAGGCUGCUGCUGUUGCUCCCCAACAGCAACUGUACCCUGGUGCAGUUGCCUCACUGGUGAAUGGAAGGGCCAACCAUGAUAACUGCCACUGCUUGCAUGCCUAGUAUCAGAGGUCACAAUGGCUGCAGUCUAUUUCCAUUGUUGGGAGCAGUAUGCUUUUGAAUGCCAGUUGCUGGAAAUCACAAGUGGGAAGAAUGAUGUUAUGCUCAGAACCUGCUUAUGGGCUUCCCACAGGCAUCUGGUUGAGAUCUGGACUAGAUUGUCCUUUGACCUGAUCCAGCAGUCUCUGCUGAUGUUCUUACUUCCCCCUUCCAUGUUGGUAAAUUUAACUGAUUCUUUGACACUGAUAUAUACAUCUGUGUAUAGCCUUUUCUUUCACUUCAGGCUAAUUUACACCCCCCCCCCCCCCGUAAACCAAUGAGCAGCAAAAAAGCAAGCUGCAUCUAGUACUUGACCCCUUUCCAUUGAAGGACAUUAAAGCCACAGCUUGAGGUUCCUCCAUAUGCUGUUGCAGGACCUCUUUGCACUGCAGAUGACAGUGGGCAGCUGCCUGCUGGGGACUGUUGGGUAUUGGGAGGAGGAGGAGGUAGAAAGAGAGUCUCUCAUUGACCAACACUUUUAUGCCUGAACAAACACAGUUAAUUCAUUUAAAGAAUAUAACACCAUGACACUCCCUGAAUGAUUUCAUUUUCUUUGCCGCAAUUCUUCGUUCAAGCAGAAAUACUUGAAUAGUGAUUACUGGGUAUAUUAGUAUAAUUCAUACACUCAUUUUGUGCUUUAGAAUAUCAACAUGUUGUUUGACUAAGCAACCUUGUUCCCUAUUGUUGUUAUUGCAAGGGGGAGGAAGACAGUACAUUACAGAAUUUUCAUAAUAAAAAGGCUACACAUGAUUUCUGAGUGUCACUUUUCCAUGCAUUAAUAAAACCCAAAGGCAUGUCUGUUCCUGACUAUUUUUAUGCUGGCAUGCCAUAACUUCCCACACUUAUAAUGAACAAGCAUGUUGGGAGUGAAAGCACUAUUGGAUUUAGUCAUAUUAAACACUGAAAAGAAAAAAGGGGAAUAAUUUUUUUCCAAAGCAGUUAGUGAUUUGUUUGCAUAAUUCCUUGGGGAGCAAAAGAGAAGAAAAGGGUAGGAAAACUAUAUAUAAUAAGAAGCAAAAAGCAUAGCAUAAUAGGCUUUCAAAAAACCUCCAUGUUUGCAGAUGCAAUUUUGUAGCGAUGUUAAAUUAUAGAUGCAAAUGCUUGCCUUUAAAAUGCCAGGAGGCUUUUUAUAAUUUCAUGUGUGUGGGGGGGAGGGUGGGUGGGCUGGAGUUAAGUGUAGACAUUUGCAAAAAUGAAGAUCCUGU